UUGAACAGUCAAACAGAAUGAAUCGAGCACACACAGUGUAGUGUUGUGAAUCGCGUUUUAUAUUUGCACUUGAGAGUUUUUUUCGCUCGUUUCUAUGCCAAUAUAAUUUAAAGUUGGCAAUUCUUCGGUAAACUCGAUAUUCUCACUAAAGUAAACACAAAGAUUGAAAUAGAUAGUGAAAACAGUGUAAAAAAAUUGUACGACGACGAAAUAUACAUUUUAAUUGAAAAAGAAGAAGAAGAAAAUAGUUGAUAAUCAUAAGAAGAAAUCAAAUUAAUUUUCUCUUCACAAUUAUUGAUGGCAAAUGAGAAAUGAAACAAGAAGUGUACGCAAAAUAGAGUAAUAAGUAACAAAGGAUGCAAAAAUCAAGACACAACCAAUAAUACAACUUAAAAUCGAAUCCUAGUGCAAUUGUAACGAGUGCAACAACUACGGCAAUACAUUAAAUCUAAGAGGGAACAUAUAUACGAGGAGCCCCCCAAAGACCAAUCAUCAUCAUCAUCAGCCUGCAACAAAAACACUUACACAAAAACUCACCCACUUGAACUCUCCCUCAAACAUAUGCAAAUAAUCUCAACGAAUAAUAUACGGAAAAAAAUAAAAAUCCAUUCGCAUAACUUCACACACUGAAUUGAAAACGGUCAAUGUGUGCAGACUGCGCGAAAUCGAACACACAAGUGCAAGUGAAACGCACAGUGCAUUAAUAUUUAUUGCAUUCGUUUAACAUAUAUAGAUGUUAUGUAUUAAAAAAAAAUCCGCCAAAACCCAAAUCGUAAAUUACAAACAAACAAAAAAGAACAAAAAGCAAAUGCGUGAAUAAUAACAAAUCAUAAACGAUUA